CUUGAACAGUUUUGGGUUUGUGUUUUUGUUGGGUGUAGACUGUAGUAGCUUCAGCAUAAACAGCUUCAAUGUCGCUAUUCGGUUCCGGUGCCACUGCUGCUGCAAACACAAAUCCCAAUAAGUCUGUCGAGGUUCAACAACCUCCUUCUGAUUCUGUAUCAAGUCUCUGCUUCAGUCCCAAGGCUAAUCUUCUCGUUGCUAGUUCAUGGGAUAAUCAGGUGCGAUGUUGGGAAGUGAUGGGAAGUGGAACCAAUGUUGGAGCUGUACCCAAGGCCUCUAUAUCACAUGAACAGCCGGUUUUAUGCUCAACUUGGAAGGAUGAUGGGACAACUGUCUUCUCUGGAGGUUGUGACAAGCAAGUGAAAAUGUGGCCGCUAUCUGGUAGUCAACCUGUAACAGUAGGCAUGCAUGACGCUCCUGUCAAGGAAUUGGCUUGGAUCCCAGAGAUGAGUCUCUUGGUCACAGGAAGUUGGGAUAAGACUCUGAGGUACUGGGAUUUGAGACAACCAAAUCCAGCACAUGUCCAGCAACUUCCUGAGCGCUGCUAUGCACUUACAGUGAAACAUCCUCUGAUGGUUGCUGCCACAGCUGAUAGAAAUCUUAUAGUUUUCAAUUUGCAGAAUCCUCAGACUGAAUUCAAGAGAAUUGUCUCACCCUUAAAGUAUCAAACUCGGUGUUUAGCUGCCUUCCCUGAUAAACAAG
rnacentral:misc_RNA from 1 species